rnacentral:lncRNA from 1 species
AUGCUCUGGAAGACGAGUACUUGGUGAAUCUAAGGAAGUUUCAGGUUAUGAUCUGCUGUGGUUUCAGUGUACUACCCCCAAAAUACUCAUGCGUGAAACACAAUCCUAACACAACAUUGUGAAUCCCUUAGAGUCUUCUGCACUUCUGUGAUUAACUCCAAAGCUCAGAAAUCUUUUAAAAUAUAUACAUGAAAAAAAUAUUUCAAUAAUAGUAAAAGAAGCUAUGAGUGUUUCUCCAAGCUGCCUCCUUAUGUCUGGAGAACCCGCUGUUAUGGAGGGAAGAGGGAAGAAGCAACAGACGCAGGGCCAGCUGAGAGUCAGCAGUCACAACCACCUCAGGAGCCUUUCCCAGAGCUGCUUGCGAAAGGGAUGCACAGAGGAGGACUUACAAGAGGCAUACAGUUUCCCCGGAAUGGUUUAUGCUGAGGUUGUCUAGUAAGACAGUUAUUUCAUAACUCUCCAGAGAGAAAACCAGGUAGCAUCAAGGACUCAAAAUGGCAGUAAAGUGCUACUUCUACAUUUUAUUUUAAUUAAUUUUCGACUUCCAUAUGCGAAAAGUGGUGUACUUGUCUGUGAGUAUAUCUGAAUGUUUGGGGGUGCAUGUAGAAGCCAUGGGUGAUUUUUAGGAUCACACCUCCUCAUAAUUCACUGAGGCAGGGUCUCUCAAUCAAACCUAGAUCUUGAAGACUCAGCUAAUCUCCCUAGCUAGCUAGCUUGCUCUGAGGAUCCCUUGGCCUUUGAAAGCUUGAAUUGUAGGCAGGCCUCUAUGCCCAGCUGUCAUUUCCAUGGGUUCCUGGGAAUUCAAACUCCAAUUGUCACAAUGUACUUAAGCACCAAAUCAUCUCCAGCUCUACAUUCAAAUUUUAGAAAUUUUCAAGUGACAAUUCUGUGUGACCCACCUCCACCCCCAGACACUUUCAGUUCCAUGUGGCCUCUGAAAAUUUACCUCCUAUGCAUUUUCCCAAGAAGCGACUGCAAGAUGUCCCCCACCCCCAGCCCAAGGCACAAACCAACAACAAACAAUACUACAACAACAAAAUCAAUUAACCAACCAACAACAACAAGGAACCAAGACUUGCAAUCCAAGAAAAGAAGGCUCUAAGCCAGAUCACACAACAAAGGGAAACCCAGGUGAACAAGUCUAGGCCAGAGCAGGAGGAUGGGAGAUGCAGGAGGGGCUAUCUGAGUGACAGACAAUGGAGGGCAUGGAGGCUGGGAAUAGAGACAGCAUUGGGCACCCAGUAGGUCUGCAGGGGCACUGGGGAAGAACUUGACACAGGUAGGCAGUAAAACCAGUCUUUUAAAGAUAAUGAGUAGCUCAGGAAAACACCGCUGAACAGUUGUACAGGCAAAGAAACACCACCUCCCUCGGUUCUCUCUCUAGUGGAGAAUGUUUAAAUCAUCCUCAUAGUGGAAACCCAACUGCAGGGUCUGCCACACAAGGCGUGGCUAUCAGGAUGGGGAGGGGUGAGGAGGGCUUGUGUUAAAAGGGGCCAAUCCUUCUCACUGGGAGUCAGUAGGCAAUGUUAAAAAAAACAACAACAAAAAAAAAAAAAAAAACAAUAAGACUGCAUUCAAGACGUCUGAGUGAGGGCAGUGAUGUGGAAAGAAAAAGCAAAAAUAAAAAAAAAAAAAAAACUAAAAGAGUUCAAAGAGGUUCCUCUGGGAAGUGGGGCUGGGCCUGAGAAAGACUGCUGCUGUUUGACUUUUAAUCUAUGUUUUUUUAUGAAACGGAUAAAAAUAAAAAGGAAUUUAAAAA